rnacentral:rRNA from 1 species
CGACCUUGAAAUACCACCCUUUAAUGUUUGAUGUUCUAACGUGGACCCGUAAUCCGGGUUGCGGACAGUGUCUGGUGGGUAGUUUGACUGGGGCGGUCUCCUCCUAAAGAGUAACGGAGGAGCACGAAGGUUGGCUAAUCCUGGUCGGACAUCAGGAGGUUAGUGCAAUGGCAUAAGCCAGCUUGACUGCGAGCGUGACGGCGCGAGCAGGUGCGAAAGCAGGUCAUAGUGAUCCGGUGGUUCUGAAUGGAAGGGCCAUCGCUCAACGGAUAAAAGGUACUCCGGGGAUAACAGGCUGAUACCGCCCAAGAGUUCAUAUCGACGGCGGUGUUUGGCACCUCGAUGUCGGCUCAUCACAUCCUGGGGCUGAAGUAGGUCCCAAGGGUAUGGCUGUUCGCCAUUUAAAGUGGUACGCGAGCUGGGUUUAGAACGUCGUGAGACAGUUCGGUCCCUAUCUGCCGUGGGCGCUGGAGAACUGAGGGGGGCUGCUCCUAGUACGAGAGGACCGGAGUGGACGCAUCACUGGUGUUCGGGUUGUCAUGCCAAUGGCACUGCCCGGUAGCUAAAUGCGGAAGAGAUAAGUGCUGAAAGCAUCUAAGCACGAAACUUGCCCCGAGAUGAGUUCUCCCUGAGACUUAGAGUCUCCUGAAGGAACGUUGAAGACGAC